AUUGAACGCUGGCGGCAGGCCUAACACAUGCAAGUCGAGCGGAAACGAGUUAUCUGAACCUUCGGGGAACGAUAACGGCGUCGAGCGGCGGACGGGUGAGUAAUGCCUAGGAAAUUGCCUUGAUGUGGGGGAUAACCAUUGGAAACGAUGGCUAAUACCGCAUAAUGCCUACGGGCCAAAGAGGGGGACCUUCGGGCCUCUCGCGUCAAGAUAUGCCUAGGUGGGAUUAGCUAGUUGGUGAGGUAAUGGCUCACCAAGGCGACGAUCCCUAGCUGGUCUGAGAGGAUGAUCAGCCACACUGGAACUGAGACACGGUCCAGACUCCUACGGGAGGCAGCAGUGGGGAAUAUUGCACAAUGGGCGCAAGCCUGAUGCAGCCAUGCCGCGUGUAUGAAGAAGGCCUUCGGGUUGUAAAGUACUUUCAGCAGUGAGGAAGGCGGGUACGUUAAUAGCGUGCUCGUUUGACGUUAGCGACAGAAGAAGCACC
rnacentral:rRNA from 1 species